AAACAAAUUAAAGCAGAAGCUUCAAACAGGGAUAAAUUAGAACACUUCACUAUGAAUUCCAGAGCUGAAGAAGAUGUUGACUUAAGGAGCCAUGAGGGAAGUGGUGAGGAAACUGAAUCAGAAGAUGAAGAAGAUGACGGUGAACAUGGUGAUGAAACUGAAUCGGAAGAUGAAGAAGGUGAGUCUGGACAAGAAGAUGAACAUGAACAAGAAGAGGAAGUUCGACAAGAACAGGAGCAAACACAUGAAGUUGUAGAGAAGACAAGAAGAUGACCUACUCACAUGAGGCGCUUCUGGAAAGAACAUGAUGUUGAUAACAAGAUCAAUUUGAAGUUCAACAGAUUUGGUCAGCCAUGUGGUUUGAAGACAUGCAAGCUGACAAAUUUUAUUGGAACCCUAGUGAAAGGAAAAGAAAUGUCCUUAGCUGCUCAAAACUGGAGCAAAGUACCAAAGUUAGAGAAAGAAAAGUUGUGGGAUUCUGUCAAGGCCUUUUUCAACAUUGAUGAGUCAUACAAAAGAUGGGUGUUGAGAUCAGCCAGUAAAAAAUGGAAAGACUUCAAGGUUGUUUUAAAGAGGAAAUAUUACAAAGCUGAUUUGUCACGGGCACGGAAUAUUCUUAAUGGUUGUGAUAAUAGAAUCCCAAUUGGACAGUGGGAGUG